UUCAAAUCGUUGAACAGGAAAUAGUAGCACAGCAUUACCUCAUUACAGCGAGUCGAUAACCGGUUUCCGGAGGUGUGAUGAUCGACAUGAGAGGCAGUGUGAAUGGACCUGUGAGAGCCUGCUUAAAGCGUUUUGGCGUGAGUAUGCGGGGACGGGAGCUACCGUUACAUAGCUAGAAUAUAUUUAUUGUAUUCGAUGAGACGUUACAUAGGGUGGCAGAACCAUUUCAUUCCCUUUGGGAGUGAAAUGGUUUUUUUAUACCUAUGAACUAAAAUACGGGUGGUACCGCGAAACCAUUUCGCCCCGCAG
rnacentral:ncRNA from 1 species